GCAAGUCGAACGAUGAAGCUGGAGCUUGCUCCGGUGGAUUCGUGCCGAACGGGUGAGUAACACGUUAGCAAUCUGCCCUUGACUCUAGGAUAACUUAGGGAAACUGUCGCUAAUACCGGAUACUUUCCUCGGUGGGCAUCCACUGGGGAAGAAAGAAUUUCGGUCAAGGAUGAGCUCGCGGCCUAUCAGCUAGUUGGUGAGGUAAUGGCUCACCAAGGCGACGACGGGUAGCCGGCCUGAGAGGGUGACC
rnacentral:rRNA from 1 species